AGUGAACGCUGGCGGUAGGCCUAACACAUGCAAGUCGAACGGCAGCACAGUAAGAGCUUGCUCUUACGGGUGGCGAGUGGCGGACGGGUGAGGAAUACAUCGGAAUCUACUUUUUCGUGGGGGAUAACGUAGGGAAACUUACGCUAAUACCGCAUACGACCUACGGGUGAAAGCAGGGGAUCUUCGGACCUUGCGCGAUUGAAUGAGCCGAUGUCGGAUUAGCUAGUUGGCGGGGUAAAGGCCCACCAAGGCGACGAUCCGUAGCUGGUCUGAGAGGAUGAUCAGCCACACUGGAACUGAGACACGGUCCAGACUCCUACGGGAGGCAGCAGUGGGGAAUAUUGGACUAAGGGCGCAAGCCUGAUCCAGCCAUACCGCGUGGGUGAAGAAGGCCUUCGGGUUGUAAAGCCCUUUUGUUGGGAAAGAAAAGCAGCAGGUUAAUACCCCGCUGUUCUGACGGUACCCAAAGAAUAAGCACCGGCUAACUUCGUG
rnacentral:rRNA from 1 species